rnacentral:rRNA from 1 species
AGUGAACGCUGGCGGUAGGCCUAACACAUGCAAGUCGAACGGCAGCACAGGAGAGCUUGCUCUCUGGGUGGCGAGUGGCGGACGGGUGAGGAAUACAUCGGAAUCUACCUUGUCGUGGGGGAUAACGUAGGGAAACUUACGCUAAUACCGCAUACGACCUUCGGGUGAAAGUGGGGGACCGCAAGGCCUCACGCGAUUAGAUGAGCCGAUGUCGGAUUAGCUAGUUGGCGGGGUAAAAGCCCACCAAGGCGACGAUCCGUAGCUGGUCUGAGAGGAUGAUCAGCCACACUGGAACUGAGACACGGUCCAGACUCCUACGGGAGGCAGCAGUGGGGAAUAUUGGACAAUGGGCGCAAGCUUGAUCCAGCCAUACCGCGUGGGUGAAGAAGGCCUUCGGGUUGUAAAGCCCUUUUGUUGGGAAAGAAAUCUUACCGGUUAAUACCUGGCGAGGAUGACGGUACCCAAGGAAUAAGCACCGGCUAACUUCGUGCCAGCCGCCGCGGUAAGAC